rnacentral:misc_RNA from 1 species
CACGUGAGCCCCAAGCGUUACCCGGAUUUACUGGGCGUAAAGGGUGCGUAGGUGGUCAUGUUAGUCGUCUGUUAAAGACCGGGGCUUAACCCCGGACAUGCAGGCGAAACGGCAUGACUAGAGGGCGCGAGAGGUUUGCGGAACUCAUGGUGUAGGGGUGAAAUCCGUUGAUAUCAUGGGGAACACCGAAAGCGAAGGCAGCAAACUGGCGCGUUCCUGACGCUGAGGCACGAAAGCUAGAGUAGCGAACGGG